rnacentral:tRNA from 1 species
GGGCCUGUGGUCUAGAGGCAUGACAUCUGCUUGACGUGCAGAAGAUCCCCAGUUCGAGUCUGGGCAGGCCCA